rnacentral:sRNA from 1 species
GUUUCCAGACUCCCUGCUGUGGAAAGAGGCUUCAGCCUUGACCUCUUCAGAAAGCCAGAGGCUAUUUAUCGACAGAGAUGGUUCCACAUUUAGGCACGUGCACUAUUACCUCUACACCUCCAAACUCUCCUUCUCCAGUUGUGCAGAACUGAACUUGCUGUAUGAGCAAGCAUUGGGUUUGCAGCUGAUGCCUUUGCUGCAGGCCUACAUGAUAAGGCACCUCUGGGGCUCAUGGACACACCCCUGUUAGACACAGAAGAGGAGGUGCACUACUGCUUCCUGCCCCUAGACCUGGUGGCCAAAUAUCCCAGCCUAGUGACUGAAGACAACCUGCUGUGGCUGGCUGAGACAGUGGCCCUCAUCGAGUGCGAGUGCAGCGAGUUCCGCUUCAUUGUGAAUUUUCUUCGCUCACAGAAGAUUUUACUACCGGAUAAUUUCUCCAACAUUGAUGUAUUAGAAGCAGAAGUGGAAAUUCUGGAAAUCCCUGCACUCACUGAAGCCGUAAGGUGGUACCGGAUGAACAUGGCAGUGUGCCCACUGGCACAUUGUUGCCACGGGAGCAGGGUCCUGAAGGCUGUGAUAACUGUAUUCUCUAGACUGUACCCUAGGCCCACUAUAGGAGAAAAAGGUCCCAUCCAUAAACCAGCAACCCAAAUACCCACCCUGAAAAUAAUGCCACACAGUAUGUCUCUGGGGGAAAUUCUGCCCAGGAGAGCCAGCAACAGGGGCUGUGAAUCCAGGAAGCCUGUAACACACAUUGAGUUUCCAGGCCAUGGUUGCCGUUCUUUACCUUUGGAUGGUUACAGAAGAGCUUGGAACUAAUGAAGACUCCUGCAGAGGCUAGGGCCAGAUGGCUGCUUUCCUGAAACUUAGGAAAUUCAGAUGCUAGUGAUACAGCAAAUGAAUCCCCCCACUCCCAACUCACCUCCCAACAAAUAGUUAUGACUUCUAAGCCUGAGUAUACAAAAAAAUUAUACUAAUUUUGAGAAGAUCUUGAUUUGGACUGUGCAAAGAAAUAUCCUUCCUCUGAGCCUCCUCGGUACAAUGGAGGCAGCAGUAGGAACCGAGCCCCAAAGCCUCCAAUCCAGCUAUGACCAUGGGGGGCCUAGGAGUCACCCCUUUCUCCCUGACACAGGUGGCUGUUCCCGGACCACCUGUUCUCCCCUGAGCCCCGGGAAGGGGGCCCGCACAGCCAGCCUGGAGUCCGUGAAACCGCUCUACACAAUGGCCCUGGGUCUGCUGGUCAAGUACCCGGACUCUGCGCUGGGCCAGCUUCGCAUCGAGAGCACGCUAGACGGAAGCC